rnacentral:rRNA from 1 species
AUUGAACGCUGGCGGCAGGCCUAACACAUGCAAGUCGAGCGGAGCAGCGGACGGGUGCGUAAUGCCUAGGAAUCUGCCUGGUAGUGGGGGAUGACGUCCAGAAACGGACGCUAAUAUCGCAUACUAUCAGAUUCGCAUAGAUCGGAUUAGCUAGUGGGUGGGGUAAAGGCCUACCAAGGCCACGAUCCGUAACUGGUCUGAGAGGAUGAUCAGUCACACUGGAACUGAGACACGGUCCAGACUCCUACGGGAGGCAGCAGUGGGGAAUAUUGGACAAUGGGCGCAAGCCUGAUGCAGCCAUGCCGCGUGUGUGAAGAAGGUCUUCGGAUUGUAAAGCACUUUAAGUUGGGAGGCGUUACCAACAGAAUAAGCACCGGCUAACUCCGUGCCAGCAGCCGCGGUAAUAC